rnacentral:rRNA from 1 species
GGCUCAGGACGAACGCUGGCGGCGUGCCUAACACAUGCAAGUCGAACGGACGAGAUGGCUUCGGCCAUCGAGUUAGUGGCGGACGGGUGAGUAACGCGUGAGCAACCUGCCUUACAGAGGGGGAUAACACACGGAAACGUGUGCUAAUACCGCAUAAAUCAGGCUAAUGGCAUCAUUAGCUUGGCAAAGGAGCAAUCCGCUGUAAGAUGGGCUCGCGUCCGAUUAGAUAGUUGGCGGGGUAACGGCCCACCAAGUCUGCGAUCGGUAGCCGGACUGAGAGGUUGAUCGGCCACAUUGGGACUGAGACACGGCCCAAACUCCUACGGGAGGCAGCAGUGAGGGAUAUUGCACAAUGGGCGAAAGCCUGGAUGCAGCAACGCCGGCGUGAGGGAUGAC